CAGAGUUGCAAAACUCCCAAACCAUUGUGAACGUUACCAAACCGUUGCUUCGGCGGGCGGCCCGGGUCACUCCGGCGCCCCCCGGCCCUCGCGGGCGCCCGCCGGAGGUAAACCAAACUAUUGAAUUGUAUGGCCUCUCUGAGUCUUCUGUACUGAAUAAGUCA
rnacentral:misc_RNA from 1 species